AACAGAGAGGCAAGCUCACCACCAGAAUGUGCCUUUUCCUUAUCAAAAAGAAUUGCUGCCCCUUACAGGACAGGAGGAUUCCAAUUGUGACCAAGUUGGACCAGCCUUGAGCCACAACUCAGACUUAUUUUCAUUCUCUGCUCAUUGGCCAUUAGGAACCCGAUCCUUAUGACCUGCAGUGACCUGCUGCUACCAGAACUGACUCGCUUCCAGAACUGACUUGCUUCAAAGUGACGGAUGAAACCCAUAUGGAGAUAUUCCUGGGGUGGGUAGGCCAGUUGGAAGACAGAGUGUUUACACCUGAGAGAGGACUUGAGGAAAAGCAGUUGAAAUACCAUUAGUUAACAGAUUGCCCAAUGAAGUCGAUGACAACUGUGAUAAGAAAUUACUCACUAUCACAGCGUCUCCAAGAGAUGAACAGUGGAUGAUGCUUCCAAAGCACAGAUGUCCCUCUCCUCCUCAACCUUCUCUCCCCAGAAAGAUGUCAACACUGUGGAGAUUGUGCUAUGAAGAUACCUGGUGUGGCAUUGCAAUAGAUGAAAUGUUAAGGGCAAUUCAACAAUUUUCUGAACAAGUACAUGGAUUUAACUUGAAGUUGAAUUUAAUUUGACUUCAAGAAAAAUUAUAUUUCUGGUCCUCCUAUGAUCAUGUACUAAGAAUUAUUUAACUGCAGAUACAAUUGUUAUCUUUAGAGCUAGAAGGCCUCAUUUUAGAAUUAAAAUGAAUGGCAACCCAGACAGAUAAAGUCGAGUCGUGAUCAUCCCACUGCGGAGGCAGAGCCAGUGCUGGCCAUCCCCCGACCGCCCCAACACGCUCCAGGUCUCACACAUUUAAUCUCUCUCUCUGCCAAGGGAAUUUUUUCUUUCCAUUUAUUCUUAGAAACAACUAAGGGAGUUUUAAGUUAAAUACAUGCUGCCAAAUUGAAUCCAAGGAAACUAAAGUCAAAUGCAUUAGCAAACACUUAAUGUCCUCUCCAUUUUGACAUUUCUCCCUCAAUUCCUAUUUCUGAGUAAAGGCUGUUCAGAUGAAUAAAAACAUAUUUUCAGAAAUCUGAGCUCAUAAGACCUACAGGCCUGUGAAGUCACAGACCGUGCACUGUCAGCAGUCAGCAAUUCUGCUGGGUUGAAUAGGCAUGUUUCAAACUAUGUAUUUUUGUUAAAAAAAAAAAAAAAAAGUGUGUGUAAAUGCAUUUACAAAAUAAUUUGUACUCUUUCCCAGUAAUUUAUAGUUGCCUUCACAGUACCCAGUUCCUGAUUUCACACCAAGCCCCUGCUGAGGAUAUGAGAGUAAUAAAAAAGGGAGCCCUGGCUCUUCCUCUCCUUUAGUGUCUUUCCUGGAAGUGGACUGGGAGAAGAGCUUCUUCAGCCACCUUCUGCCUGCAGACAUCCUCCAUGAGUUUGCUUUAGAAGAAGGCUUCAAUUUGAAGAAAGUCAAAUAAAACAAGGUAGACUAUCAUUCCCAUAGAUGCAAAAGAAGGUGAACCCAGAUUCAGAUCCUAAGUCAGCCAUUCUGCAGGGAACUCUUAGGUGUCCAGGUCAGAGGCUCUAUUCAAACUGCCUCAUCAAUAUUCACUCCUCAGUUGUUGUAAAUAUACCACACUCAUGUACAUUGUUAAUAAUAAAAGGGGAACUGUAGAGGAGGGGGUGGUGUAUAUGAGA